GUUAAGCGACUAAGCGUACACGGUGGAUGCCCUGGCAGUCAGAGGCGAUGAAGGACGUGCUAAUCUGCGAUAAGCGUCGGUAAGGUGAUAUGAACCGUUAUAACCGGCGAUUUCCGAAUGGGGAAACCCAGUGUGUUUCGACACACUAUCAUUAACUGAAUCCAUAGGUUAAUGAGGCGAACCGGGGGAACUGAAACAUCUAAGUACCCCGAGGAAAAGAAAUCAACCGAGAUUCCCCCAGUAGCGGCGAGCGAACGGGGAGCAGCCCAGAGCCUGAAUCAGUGUGUGUGUUAGUGGAAGCGUCUGGAAAGGCGCGCGAUACAGGGUGACAGCCCCGUACACAAAAAUGCACAUGCUGUGAGCUCGAUGAGUAGGGCGGGACACGUGGUAUCCUGUCUGAAUAUGGGGGGACCAUCCUCCAAGGCUAAAUACUCCUGACUGACCGAUAGUGAACCAGUACCGUGAGGGAAAGGCGAAAAGAACCCCGGCGAGGGGAGUGAAAAAGAACCUGAAACCGUGUACGUACAAGCAGUGGGAGCACGCUUAGGCGUGUGACUGCGUACCUUUUGUAUAAUGGGUCAGCGACUUAUAUUCUGUAGCAAGGUUAACCGAAUAGGGGAGCCGAAGGGAAACCGAGUCUUAACUGGGCGUUAAGUUGCAGGGUAUAGACCCGAAACCCGGUGAUCUAGCCAUGGGCAGGUUGAAGGUUGGGUAACACUAACUGGAGGACCGAACCGACUAAUGUUGAAAAAUUAGCGGAUGACUUGUGGCUGGGGGUGAAAGGCCAAUCAAACCGGGAGAUAGCUGGUUCUCCCCGAAAGCUAUUUAGGUAGCGCCUCGUGAAUUCAUCUCCGGGGGUAGAGCACUGUUUCGGCAAGGGGGUCAUCCCGACUUACCAACCCGAUGCAAACUGCGAAUACCGGAGAAUGUUAUCACGGGAGACACACGGCGGGUGCUAACGUCCGUCGUGAAGAGGGAAACAACCCAGACCGCCAGCUAAGGUCCCAAAGUCAUGGUUAAGUGGGAAACGAUGUGGGAAGGCCCAGACAGCCAGGAUGUUGGCUUAGAAGCAGCCAUCAUUUAAAGAAAGCGUAAUAGCUCACUGGUCGAGUCGGCCUGCGCGGAAGAUG
rnacentral:rRNA from 1 species